rnacentral:rRNA from 1 species
UCUUGAAUUCCCACUGAAUAUAAGUAGGGUUAAGGCUGGUCAGCACCUGGAUGGGAGACCACCUGGGAAGUUUAAGAUUAAGGC